rnacentral:rRNA from 1 species
AAGACCUUGCGCUUUUGGAGCGGCCGAUGCCUGAUUAGCUAGUUGGUGGGGUAAUGGCCUACCAAAGCUUCGAUCAGUAGCUGGUCUGAGAGGACGGCCAGCCACACUGGGACUGAGACACGGCCCAGACUCCUACGGGAGGCAGCAGUGGGGAAUUUUGGACAAUGGGCGCAAGCCUGAUCCAGCCAUGCCGCGUGAGUGAAGWAGGCCUUCGGGUUGUAAAGCUCUUUCAGCCGGGAAGAAAAGGUUGCGAUUAAUAAUCGCAAUUUAUGACGGUACCGGAAGAAGAAGCACCGGCUAACUACGUGCCAGCAGCCGCGGUAAUACGUAGGGUGCGAGCGUUAAUCGGAAUUACUGGGCGUAAAGGGUGCGCAGGCGGUUUUGUAAGUCAGAUGUGAAAUCCCCGGGCUUAACCUGGGAACU